AAAUAAGAAGCGAUUAAUUGCAUUCAGUUUCGACCUGAUCUUAGGUGUUAACACCCUUAUUUU
rnacentral:tRNA from 1 species